rnacentral:lncRNA from 1 species
GCUUCUGCACCAGAUACCAGGCACCUGUGGUUGGAGUUCCACCACCCCGUGGAGAGCCUGGCCCUGACUGUGGAGGAGGUGGUGGGUGUGCGUCGAGUGCUGGUGAAGGCCAAGAUGGAGAAGUUCACCCAGGACCAGGAGCUCUUCAGCAGCCUGAAGAGGGGGAAGGUAGGGCCUGGGGACAGCUAAAGGCGGAUCUCUCCUGAUAGGAGGUCAGGGGCAGGCCAGUGUGGGCAGGACCUUGGUGGGCCAUGAACACAGCUGAGCCCCAGCGUGCCUUCCCUCACAGAUCUGCUGCUACUGCCGAGCCAAGUUCCCACUCUUCUCCUG